AGAUUGAACGCUGGCGGCAGGCCUAACACAUGCAAGUCGAGCGGUAGAGAGGUGCUUGCAUCUCUUGAGAGCGGCGGACGGGUGAGUAAUGCCUAGGAAUCUGCCUAGUGGUGGGGGAUAACGUUCGGAAACGGACGCUAAUACCGCAUACGUCCUACGGGAGAAAGCGGGGGACCUUCGGGCCUCGCGCCAUUAGAUGAGCCUAGGUCGGAUUAGCUAGUUGGUGAGGUAAUGGCUCACCAAGGCGACGAUCCGUAACUGGUCUGAGAGGAUGAUCAGUCACACUGGAACUGAGACACGGUCCAGACUCCGUACGGGAGCAGCAGGUGGGAAUAGUUGGACAAGUGGGACGAAAGCCUAGGACUACCAGCCAGUCGCCGCGUGUGUAGAAGUAGGUCUUCGGAUUGUAAAGCUAACGUUUAAGGU
rnacentral:rRNA from 1 species